rnacentral:tRNA from 1 species
GGUCCCGUAGCUCAGUUGGAUAGAGCAUCAGAUUUCUAAUCUGGGGGUCAUUGGUUCGAAUCCAAUCGGGAUCA